ensembl:lncRNA
UUUUACUUCUUUUUUUUCUGAAAAUUAUAACUGUGAAAAAGUUACAUCCCCAUUAGAACAGACAGCUUGCAUGUCACAGGGAGAACAAUAGCCCUGGAGUGAGUGAAUCACAAUGACAACGUGUUGAUCCAAACCAUAAUUUCUAAUGGGAUCAGCACAGACCAGGAAACUAGCAAGUAGUCGGGGGAAGAAGCUCCCUGCUCUCCUCUGGGGAUCAGAUGACCAGCAGGCGUCGCCAUCUCACCACUAGGGGGUGUCUGUGCGUCGUACAUGCGCUUCCGUGGGAAAGAAGAAGAACGGCUGACGGAGACUAACGUUGUACCUGUUUACUUGUUACAUGUAUUUAAGCCCGCAGUUUCCACCCCCCGUGUUCCGCCCACUGCCACGUCCCUUUCUUUGGCUCGGCUGUGGCUCAUCUCGGCGAUCGCUUCUGGCUGGGUCAAACGCUUUGGCGCUAUGGCGCUUCCACGACACAUCGUCUGUCUUUCCGGUUACCAAACUGGCCCCCAGAUGAUUCUUGUCUCAACACAAACGUGAGCCAUGAUGUCAUCUGUCCCCCUUUUCCAUGACUAAUGGAAAGGAAAAAUAACAAAACAACCUUUCCACAAUAAACGAUAAGCAUAUAAACCACGCUACCUGCUCUUGUCAGUUUGUUUUUUCAAACCAACUGCUAAACUAAUGUAAAACUAGCUAUAAUUGGCUACAGCUUUUAGCACUAUUGUGUAAAUCUGAUUCUGAAGUGCACAAAAAUCAGCAACUAUUUUUCGGUUUGGAUUCUGAUAUCUUACAGUGUUGAUGUGAGAGGGUGUGUCUGUGAGUGAGUUUGAGGGAAUAAAAGUGUUAUUAAAUCCUUUAAUCACCAUGCGGAUAUUAAUAUACAUCACUAGCCCCUUGAUACAAUGUCACUUCAGCUUACCAGUACGCGCUAACUAAUGACGCCUCCAUCUGGAUCCCAGGAUGGGGUUAAAAGUGUCACACUCAAUUCAUGUCUUCAAUAGGACACCCUGUGGCGUGGGGAACGGAGGCUGUUUGCCCGCCCGAAUGCGCUCACAUGUGGAUCCAAACGCUGUUGCACAGUGAUACACACAAAUUGACAGAUGUCAUGCACACCAUUUGACAGGCUUCUUAAAAAGGAAAAAAGCACUUUAACAUACAGUAAAUGGACAUUUUUUAGCGGUAGCUGACAUCGUGUACUUACUGUGUCAUACUGAUGUCACAGCAAUGUUGCUCAGGCUGCCAGAAAGCUCAGUCGGGUGUUAAUGGCUGCCAUGAAUUCCUCCGUUAGCGCCCAAAGCCCCCAACAAGGUACUGAGGUAAGUGGCUUUUCCAGGCCUUACAUGCUACUUUGUGUGUUUCUGCAUGUGUGAGGCUCCUCGACUGGUGAGAUUCUAAAUAACACACCUCAUGUUGGUUAAAAACACAAUGUGUUUGAUUUGUAUGCGAGAGAUAUAUAUACAAUAACUGAGAGAAACAGGAAUUUAGUAAAGCCAAGAGACAUUUUUCACCACUUCUAAGUGGCUUGAAGUUCUCUUGAGCACUUAAAUUCAACACUGAAAUUCAUCUCUAUUCAGAUGAACCUAUUAUUCAUGCUGUAGAGCUGCCACAAGGCACUCUCUCAUUUCCUCAGCAUUUGCACGCCUCCUUUUUUUAAAAACUGUUUCAAAUUGUGAUAAACGAUUGCCCUAAUGCUGCCAGACAAUUUACUACUCCACAACUCAGUGCCAAAACAAAUGGAUGACGGGUGAAAAAUGCUAUGAGCACAAAUAACCCUAGAUGCUGGGAAGAACACUUCCUUCCUUGACAUUGUUCUUGGCGUGCAGACAAAUGCGGGGCAAUGACACUGUAAUAGGAGCUAAUGAACCAGUCAUCAGGGCAGACUGUGUGCUGCCUUGAUGUUGUGCGAUCGCGACGUCAGAGGCACUGGUGACCACAACGACGCGUCAGACCACCCGUCACAUCCGGCGGGUUCCAGUGGGUGGAGGAGACCAAUUCAUUACCCCACUUUUAGUUGAAUAAGAAGAAUAUGCUUGUGAGCUGGGAUCCACUCCACGUAACUAGUUUUAACCUCUCAGGGCCUAGAGAGGAGGAAAGAGGAAAGUGCUCAAAGCUACACUUGAAUGAAACUGAAAGCAGAGGCUUAGAUUUAAAAACAAGGGACAUAGAGAUACUUUCGGUGAUGAGACUAAUGUGUCCCAAAAGAAAUUAGAGUGCCUCUUAAACAAAGCAAAGAAAGCAGUUUAGUCAUUUGUUCCCAGAGCGUUGGUGGAAAUGAUGCUAUCGAAGUUGAUUAAAGCAGUGAGAUACAUCACAGAAGUUUUUGUGGCUUAAAACCUGUCCUGUGUUUAUGGGACAGAUUAUUGACUGGUAUUGGGUUGGUCCCCAAAAGCAGAGAGCAAGGCUGAAACAGAUGGUGUCUUUUGUCAACAGGAACUCUGACUUGUCCCACCUUAUAACCCCAUCUGUGAUAAUGAGACGGCCAGCACAACAAAUGUCAAGAAGCACCUUCUGAGAGUUCAGUAAUCUGCCCAGCAGACACAGUGACAAACGACUCCCGGUGGCUUCCCCCUCUACCUCACCCCGCUGCUCUCAGGCCCGAAUCAGUCACAUUAUCAAAUCAGCCCUCAGGUCUGCAAAAACUAGUUGACACUUGAUGGUGUGACGAGGAAGCAGCACUGUGCAGCCUCCAAAGGCCUGUUUACUGUGUAGAUAAAUACCCCUCCUGGUAGUAGCCUUAUUAAUGCAAACAGGUAGAUCUAAUAUGAUGUAUAUGCAGUGGGUGAUUUAUGUUUCCAUAGGUCUGUAAGAAAGAGGGAGACUUGUAAAAGGGAAGCAAAUAUUCCCCGGAGACAUUUGGUGUAAUCUCUAAUUGGUUAUUUACAGGCAAUGUUUGUAGUAUACAAAAGAAAAGCUCAACAGGAGCUUGCUUCGCUUGGGAGUUUAUCCCACUGGUCUCUUUCAAUCUAUCUGAAUGAGCUCACUUCAGGUAGCCGUACAAGGUUUGCUUAUCCUACUUAUCCCUACAAUGAUGUGCCUUUGUUGUGUGAUUGAUAGCCGAGACCUUAAGAAAAACAAACAUCCUGCUGUGCACGGCUGAGUUCCUGUGACAAACCCAUUGGGACUGCUUGGGGACGCAGGAAGCUGUCUAAUGUAGAGCAAAGCUUAAGGUGGCUUUGGAGUAUUUCAAAGAAAUUGCUACAUUUUGUGCUUUUCCUGCAACACUUGAGGGUUCAACCAACCCUUUGAUUCAUCACAAUAACUCAGUGUAUUUUCUAUUAUGUGCACCAAAACAGUCCUGUGAUGAACAUAAUGGAGUAAACGGUAUCAAUGUCACUAUAACGUCAGUGGCUAGAUAUAACUAAGCUCAUCUUUUCACUGUGCCAAACACAAUGUCAGGGAUACCAAGUCAAGUAAACAGUCUGCAGUCAGAAAACACUAUAAGCCAACAGAAUGCUGUGCUAACUUGGGUAGUAGAGUGCAUGAUUGCUUCAUAAAAUACUGUGGAAUGAGCAUCAGCUUAAAGCACAGAUUACGUUUUGUGGACACAAUUGGUGGUGUGAACGUUACAUGCCUCUUCCACCAAACCAUCGAACCAUGGACACGCCAUUUUCAUAGUUGCCGAUUCAUAGGCGAUUUGAAAAAGUGAGAUAACCUUUCACCGUUCCUCACAUGCUUUACCUUCCCCAACAGCAAACGUUUGACAAAGAAAGGGAUUCAGAGAUGACGGGGUCCUACAAUGUAUCACGUCUCAACAAAUCUACUGAAUUUAGUUGUGUUUUCUAAAGAUUAUAAAGAUUGUAAUGGGAAAAAUGUACGAACAGUUUAUCAAUCGCAAGUGCUGGGAUGGUGUGGCCCCGGGAAAGAAUGUGUGUCCCACUGAUAAGAUGUCCCCGGUCUCCUGGAUGUAGCGUAACAACAAGUUGGUGCUCAUGUGUUGGAUGUAAGUUUCUGUUCAUGCCACCUGUAACUGAACUGAGGUAUAAUAAUUCCUGUUGUGACAUUUUCCCUGGCAAGGAAAUAAACGGAGAGAGUCAUAUUUGAUUCAGAGCCUCUAUCUUAUUUUCCGAUUGUCUGUGUAAAUCUUCAAUCACAAGAUGCUAUUUAUCCAUUUUGGCUCUGACACCCCGUCCCACUCCCCUUCAUGCCUGCAAUCAGCUUUUAAAUCCAACAGCAAACGCUGGCUAUGAUCAUUCUAAACUAAACAUGUGCUUUUUGGCAUUAAUCAGAAUCCAAUGAUGUGUGGUUUAGUGACCAGAUGCAUAAAGAAUUCACAACCAACGCUCUGUGUGUAUAUAUAAAGAAAG